UGAGGAAUAUUGGACAAUGGGUGAGAGCCUGAUCCAGCCAUCCCGCGUGAAGGACGACUGCCCUAUGGGUUGUAAACUUCUUUUAUACUGGGAUAAACCUACCCUCGUGAGGGUAGCUGAAGGUACAGUAUGAAUAAGCACCGGCUAACUCCGUGCCAGCAGCCGCGGUAAUACGGAGGGUGCAAGCGUUAUCCGGAUUUAUUGGGGUUUAAAGGGUCCGUAGGCGGGCUCGUAAGUCAGUGGUGAAAUCUCAUAGCUUAACUAUGAACUGCCAUUGAUACUNCGGGUCUUGAGUAAAGUAGAAGUGGCUGGAAUAAGUAGUGUAGCGGUGAAAUGCAUAGAUAUUACUUAGAACACCAAUUGCGAAGGCAGGUCACUAUGUUUUAACUG
rnacentral:rRNA from 1 species